GAGGGUAUAGCUUAGUGGUAGAGUGCGUGCCUAGCAUGUACAAGGUCCUGGGUUCAACCCCCAGCACCUCCA
rnacentral:tRNA from 1 species